GGACGGGGGCCCGCACAAGCGGUGGAGCAUGUGGUUUUAAUUCGAAGCAACGCGCAGAACCUUACCAGCCCUUGACAUCCCGGUCGUCGGUUUCCAGAGAUGGAUUCCUUCAGUUCGGCUGGACCGGUGACAGGUGCUGCAUGGCUGUCGUCAGCUCGUGUCGUGAGAUGUUGGGUUAAGUCCCGCGACGAGCGCCAACCCUCCGCCCUUUAGUUGCCAUCAUUCAGGUUGGGCACUCGUAAGGGGACUGCCGGUGAUAAGCCGAGAGGAAGGUGGGGAUGACGUCAAGUCCUCAUGGCCCUUACGGGCUGGGCUACACACGUGCUACAAUGGUGGUGACAGUGGGCAGCGAGGCCGCGAGGUCGAGCUAAUCUCCAAAAGCCAUCUCAGUUCGGAUUGCACUCUGCAACUCGACUUCAUGAAGCUGGAAUCGCUAGUAAUCGUGGAUCAGCCAAGCCGCGGUGAAUACGUUCCCGGGCCUU
rnacentral:rRNA from 1 species